CUUCUUAGAAUGCAUUGUUAACUAUCCACUAAUUUUAUAUGUAUCCCAUACAUAUAUGUAUACAUAAUGUUUACACCUUUUUUUUCUAAACCCACAAACCUGCCUGGCCCACCUCACUGCCUGCCAUCUCACACAGAAUCAUGGAGCUUGCAUGGCUCUGCACUAUUGUCAUGAGCGUUUGCACCCAAAGAUGCAUGCUCCUUUACUAUUUGCAGAUCAGCAAACGUACAUGUGGGGUGUGACAUUAUCCUCUAUAUUCUUUAUGAAAAUAUGCUUAUGAUCUGGAUAUGACAUAGCUAAUAUAUACUUUAUCCAAGAUGGCUGAUGUGGGGUAUCAUUGCAAAACUUAAGACCUAUUGACUGUGUUUAUCCAACCUCUAUGCAUGUAACGUUUGUAUCUGAGGCUAGAAAUAUUGACCAUGUCUCUGUAUUUCACAUGUGCUCUGUUGGAUGAGGCCAGACAAUGUUAGUGGCUUAUUGAAGGAAUGCACAAAGACAUAAAGAUUAUCCCAGGAACUGUGUGCAAUAGGAACCUCUGAACGAUAGUGCUAUACAAUGGGGACUACUUGACCAAGAUCAGAUACUUCUCUACAGUGGGUGCUGUUUGACCCAGGUCACAGCACAAGACCCUUCCAGAAACUGGGGGGAAGAAAGAAAAGGUGGACAAUGACAGCCUACAAGAACAACCGGAAACACUUGAGGUACAAAGACUGAACAGUGAGAAAUGAUUGUCCCAGCAAUCUGGAUGAUGAGAAGACAGACACUUCAGCUCAGCUCAGCAUACUGAGAAUGAGAAGGAUCUGACAUUGUCAACCACUGAAGAAUAAUCCAGCUUAACCUAGAGAUGUGCAAAAAAUUGGGAAUACAAUGUAGCUUCACCAACCCAUACCAUCCACAAAACAAUGGACUAGCUGAAAACACAAACAAGUCCAUCAAAAGAGCAUUGCGCAAGUUGGUUGAUGACAGUGCGACUAAUUGGGAUGAAUUUCUUGGUGACAUAUUUUCUUUGAGAACAAAACCAAACAUGACAACCAAAUUGUCAUCGACUGCUGUACGGCUUUGAGGCAAGAUUCCCAGACCAAGUCUCAGACAACUAUACGCCAACAGAUUUUGAGGAAUCUGAUGAAGAAUACUACAAAGAGUACAUCAUGAAAAUUGAAGGUGGACGUGAUGCUGAAACUAAACUGGCUAUUAGUAAUAUUUCAAAAGCACAAGAAAAGCAACAAAUACAGUAUGCCAAAACUAAGACUUGUAAACAUGGGGAAAUAACAUUCAAGGUUGGUGACACUGUCAUGUUACUGAAUACGAGAAGGAAAACAAGAAAGAGAGGGCAGCUACAACCUACCUACGUCGGACCAUACAAAACUGCCGCUGUAGAGGGCAAAAGAGUAAAAUUAGAAAACAAGUUAGGGAAAGGUUUAGCAAAGUUGUACAGUAUCUCCCAACUAAAAGUAUUUAAAGAGCCUCCAAAAUUAGGUGAGGAAAACAUAUCACAAAGAAACACGGAAAAGGAAAGUGCUGUGGAUGACACUGUGAAAACCUCAGAGGUAGGAGAAAUGGGAGGCAAUGUAUCUAACAAGCCUCACAACAGCCAAGUGGAGGUCACACACACGGAAGAGGAGGAGUGUGUAGUGUCAAGAGCUUCAAGCGGUCAUCCAGGUGAUUUUGAUGACAUGGUUACGGAGGCUGAUGAAGACAGAGAAUGGUUUCUCAAAGGUGUUGCUUACCACACAGUUGUUUUUAGAGAAUUUGUUGACAUACUUCCAUUUAUCA